GUCACUAUGUGGUUUAUAGAGUUACAGGUCACUAUGUGGUUUAUUAUAGUUACAGGUCAAUACGGGGUUUAUAGAGUUACAGGUCAAUAUGGGGUUUAUAGAGUUACAGGUCACUAUGGGGUUUAUAGAGUUACAGGUCAAUAUGGGGUUUAUAGAGUUACAGGUCAAUAUGUGGUUUAUUACAGUUACAGGUCACUAUGUGGUUUAUAGAGUUACAGGUCAAUAUGUGGUUUAUUACAGUUACAGGUCACUAUGUGGUUUAUAGAGUUACAGGUCAAUAUGUGGUUUAUUACAGUUACAGGUCACUAUGUGGUUUAUAGAGUUACAGGUCAAUAUGUGGUUUAUAGAGUUACAGGUCAAUACGGGGUUUAUAGAGUUACAGGUCAAUACGUGGUUUAUAGAGUUACAGGUCAAUACGUGGUUUAUAGAGUUACAGGUCAAUACGGGGUUUAUAGAGUUACAGGUCAAUAUGUGGUUUAUAGAGUUACAGGUCACUAUGUGGUUUAUUACAGUUACAGGUCACUAUGUGGUUUAUAGAGUUACAGGUCACUAUGUGGUUUAUAGAGUUACAGGUCAAUACGGGGUUUAUAGAGUUACAGGUCAAUAC
rnacentral:lncRNA from 1 species